rnacentral:misc_RNA from 1 species
GAACUGUAUGGCCAAAAUCCAAAUGCUCCUUUCGAUGUUGUAAAAUGUUAUUAGGAGUUCAUCAUUCUCAAACCUAUAGUUUGUAUGGCGUGAAAAAACCCGGGAUCAUAUAUAAUAAAGAAAAUGCAUCACAAUGUCCCUUAACAAUAUAUCAUAGUCUGAUGUAGGUGCAAGGUUUGCGUACACUUUAUCCUCUCGAUUUCACACUUUGUGUGAUUACAUUGGGUAUGUGAAUUAA